CGUGACGAAAAAGUAAACAAACAAAGUUAUUUCCGUAGCGUUUGAAUUUGGUUUAUUUUCAGUAAAUUCAACUCGAUCUAGUGGAUUUUUGAGGUGAUAUCGAUUAUCUGAAUAGUAAAUUUACUGCCGAGGCCAAAAUGAGCACUGAAAAGGCGAGUGUUUUUCCUGGAAAUUUGGAGGUGUACAGUGUAGAUGCCGGGAAAGCGAAGCACACUCAAGAAACAGCACCAGUUUUUCGUAACCGGACAAUUUGCUGUGUUCCGGGUUGCAAGCAGCGAUACAAGCCGGGAAUAUCUUUUCAUGCUUUUCCCCCGAAAAGUGAUGAAAAGCGAUAUCGCGUUUGGACGAAGAACCUCAGUUUGAAGUAUGAACCGACUAAGACGACUCGUGUUUGCAGUCUUCAUUUCAGCAUUAAAAACUUUAUUUCGCCAACCGUUAAUCGACAAACCGACCGCCUGAUACUGAAACCAUCUGCUGUUCCAGAUUCGAGUUUACCCCACGUAUCAGCUUCCAAGGAAGCAAGCAUAAAGCGUCGCGCCGAGAGGGCUGAAAAUCGAUC